rnacentral:rRNA from 1 species
CCUACGGGUGGCAGCAGUGGGGAAUAUUGCACAAUGGGGGAAACCCUGAUGCAGCGACGCCGCGUGAGUGAAGAAGUAUUUCGGUAUGUAAAGCCCUAUCAGCAGGGAAGAAAUAGCGACCUUUGGGUCGCCAGACGGUACCUGACUAAGAAGCCGCGGCUAACUACGUGCCAGCAGCCGCGGUAAUACGUAGGGGGCAAGCGUUAUCCGGAUUCACUGGGUGUAAAGGGAGCGUAGACGGCAGCACAAGUCUGAAGUGAAAUGCCGGGGCUUAACCCCGGAACUGCUUUGGAAACUGUGGAGCUAGAGUGCAGGAGAGGUAAGUGGAAUUCCUGGUGUAGCGGUGAAAUGCGUAGAUAUUAGGAGGAACACCAGUGGCGAAGGCGGCUUACUGGACUGUAACUGACGUUGAGGCUCGAAAGUGUGGGGAGCAAACAGGAUUAGAUACCCUUUUAGUC